GGUUUCAGGGCCGGCCCAAGACAUUUUGCUGCCUGAGGCAAAACGGGAGAAAAUAGGAGGUAGGUGGCAACAGUGGCUCUGCUCUUCCCUGGUGGCAGCUGUGAGCUACAAGCACAAGGGGGUGGCGGGCAGCAGGCUCCUGGGGUCCCCAGAUCCGCAGCUCCCCCCAGCUGUCUCCAGCCUGCAGCCUGAGGCAGCUGCCUCAUCGGCAGUAACGGGUGGGCUGGCCCCAGCCUGUAUUGCCACACAGCCCUUUCCCUCCCCUUGCAGAAGACCAGCCUGCACCCUGCCCUCCACCAAGAGACUGUCAGCAGCCGAGGAGCUGUGCUGGCCUGUCGUGUGGCAAGGAGUCCUGCAAAGCGGCUUGCCUCUUGGCCAGAGGGCUUCUGGAGCUGACAGGCCCCCGGGUGCGCUGAGCUCAAUUGCCGCCCUUGCAGCUGCAGGAACACAUCCCUCUCCCCGCCACCCUGUCGCACUGACAGCCUUGCUCAUCUCUUCCCCACUCCCUCCCUCCCACUGGCCUCUUCUCUGCUCUUGGUAACCCAUCUUGGAAACCCAUCUCCAAGGCAACCUUGAGAAACACUUACUUCUGGAGAAGGAGGAGGAGAGAGGGAUUUGGGCGAGAGGGAGCGCUGCAGAAGGGAGUCAAGAGAGAGAGAGAGAGAGAGAGAGAGAGAGAACUUCACUUGAUGCCGCUCACAUCUGAGUCAUCUAUUACGUCUAAAAGGCUUCCUUACAGAAGAUGGAGCAAGCUUGUUUUCUGCCUCUCCGGAGAGGAGGACCUGAACUGAUAGAUACAAAUUCCAGGAAAGGAGAUUCUGGCUGAACCAUCGGAAGAGCUUUCUGAUGCAGCAGCUGCAGGAAAGAAAGUCAAUGCCACUCAAUGAGGCCAAACGGAAAUUUGCAUUGGCCAUGCCGGCAGCGUAUUGAAGAGCCGUUUCCAGCAAGGAUUUCCUUCCAGCAGGCACAGUAAACUCUGGCUUUGUCACAAAUAUACAUUUGUAUUCCCUCCCACCAAUCAGAUGGGUUGCUGUGUGUCCCCAAAGCGCUGUGUUCUGGGCAGAGCUGCUGAAUUCCAGCCCCCUUGCAAAUGUGCCACCGAAGGGGACUGGAGACUGACUGAUAAGAUUCUUGGCUAUCCAGUUGGGGACAGAAACAGAAAACCUUUCUUAGAACCGGCUACACAUCACAAAGCCGAGAGCGAGCCGGCUGCCAAGUUUCACUGCCUGGAUGUUAAAAAGCAGGGUGGGGAGGGGCACACUGGAAAGCCAGCCUGCGAGAUGGGGCAGUCUUUUUAAAAUGUUUCAAAUGAAUACCUCGUCUGGCCUACCUAUACUACAAUAUAAUCCUACAAAAAGAA